rnacentral:lncRNA from 1 species
UCCUCUCAGUACAGAGCUCCAUGUGACCUAACAGUCUCCUGGAUCUGGUGUGGAAGACGGAUGCAGUUGAUACCGUGAGUUGAAAGGUGUGACUUUACAUCGAACGCCGUGCAGAUUUCCCCUUGGUGGUUUUAUCUGGGCACAUCUGCCAGCUGAGAACACUCUGGUUCUCAAUUCUAACGCUCCUGUCUGCGUGAACAUAUUCGUGUCUAUCCAACUCAACUAAAAAAAAAUGGGAACAUGGUCAGUCAUGGGAUGGAUAAAUAGAUGUUGGUCUAUUCCUACAAGGGAAUACUAUACAGUAAUGAGAACAAACAACCCACAUCUACACCCAGCCACUUGGGUGAGUCUCACAAACACAAGGGUGAGAGAAAGAAGCCACACAUGAGUACCCACUGUAUAAUUCCACUUAUAUGAAGUUCAAAGGCAGGCAAAACUGAACAUGG